UACGGAGGGUGCGAGCGUUGUCCGGAUUUAUUGGGUUUAAAGGGUGCGUAGGCGGCCUAUUAAGUCCGGGGUGAAAGCCCGUUGCUCAACAACGGAACUGCCCUGGAUACUGGCAGGCUUGAGUCCAGAAGAGGGUGGCGGAAUUCCCGGAGUAGCGGUGAAAUGCAUAGAUACCGGGAAGAACCCCGAUUGCGCAGGCAGCUGCCUAGACUGGAACUGACGCUGAGGCACGAAAGCGUGGGGAGCGAACAGG
rnacentral:rRNA from 1 species